GGGGGUUCGCGGGUCUAAAUCAUUUAUAUAGGAUUUCUCUAUAUUUUUCUAUAAAUGAACUUUAUCUUAUGGUUACUAGAAAAAUAAAAUAAAAAAGUGGGUCACCGUUCAUUUGCGCUCACAAUCUGCCUUCGAAAGAAGCAUACAUUUUUGUAAAGGUGUUUUUUUUUUUCUGUUGAAGUAAUAGGAGAAAUAAAGGUA
rnacentral:lncRNA from 1 species